GAUGAACGCUAGCUAUAGGCUUAACACAUGCAAGUCGAACGGAAAGGCCCUGCUUUUGUGGGGUGCUCGAGUGGCGAACGGGUGAGUAACACGUGAGUAACCUGCCCUUGACUUUGGGAUAACUUCAGGAAACUGGGGCUAAUACCGGAUAGGAGCUCCUGCUGCAUGGUGGGGGUUGGAAAGUUUCGGCGGUUGGGGAUGGACUCGCGGCUUAUCAGCUUGUUGGUGGGGUAGUGGCUUACCAAGGCUUUGACGGGUAGCCGGCCUGAGAGGGUGACCGGCCACAUUGGGACUGAGAUACGGCCCAG
rnacentral:rRNA from 1 species